AGCAGCCGCGGUAAUUCCAGCUCCAAUAGCGUAUAUUAAAGUUGUUGCAGUUAAAAAGACUCGUAGUUGAAUUUCGGGGUUAGUAGGUUGGUCAUGCCUCUGGUAUGUACUGGUCUCACUGAUUCCUCCUUCCUGAUGAGCCUUAAUGCCAUUAAUUUGGUGUUUUGGGGAAUUUGGACUGUUACUUUGAAAAAAUUAGAGUGUUUAAAGCAAGCUAACGCUUGAAUACAUUAGCAUGGAAUAAUGAAAUAGGACGUUCGAUCCUAUUUUGUUGGUUUCUAGGAUUGACGUAAUGAUUAAUAGGGAUAGUUGGGGGCAUUAGUAUUCAAUUGUCAGAGGUGAAAUUCUUGGAUUUAUUGAAGACUAACUACUGCGAAAGCAUUUGCCAAGGAUGUUUUCAUUAA
rnacentral:rRNA from 1 species